UACGUAGGGGGCAAGCGUUGUCCGGAUUUACUGGGCGUAAAGAGCGUGUAGGCGGCCAAACAGGUCCGUUGUGAAAACUGGAGGCUCAACCUCCAGACGUCGACGGAAACCGUGUGGCUAGAGUCCGGAAGAGGAGACUGGAAUUCAUGGUGUAGCAGUGAAAUGCGUAGAGAUCAUGAGGAAGACCAGUGGCGAAGGCGGGUCUCUGGACAGUUCCUGACACUGAGGCACGAAGGCCAGGGGAGCAAACGGG
rnacentral:rRNA from 1 species